rnacentral:rRNA from 1 species
UACGGGGGGGGCAAGCGUUGUUCGGAAUUACUGGGCGUAAAGGGUUCGUAGGUGGCCAAUUAAGUCAGACGUGAAAUCCCUCAGCUUAACUGGGGAACUGCGUCUGAGACUGGAUGGCUUGAGUGCAGGAGAGGAACGCGGAAUUCCAGGUGUAGCGGUGAAAUGCGUAGAUAUCGGGAGGAACACCAGUGGCGAAGGCGGCGAUCUGGGAAGAUACUGACGCUGAGGUGCGAAAGCGUGGGGAGCAAACAGG